GGCUUACCAAGGCGACGAUCAGUAGCCGACCUGAGAGGGUGAUCGGCCACAUUGGAACUGAGACACGGUCCAAACUCCUACGGGAGGCAGCAGUGGGGAAUAUUGCACAAUGGGCGAAAGCCUGAUGCAGCAACGCCGCGUGAGUGAUGAAGGCCUUCGGGUCGUAAAACUCUGUCCUCAAGGAAGAUAAUGACGGUACUUGA
rnacentral:rRNA from 1 species